rnacentral:rRNA from 1 species
UGGGGAAUUUUGCACAAUGGGGGGAACCUUGAUGCAGCGACGCCGCGUGAGGGAUGGAGGCCUUCGGGUUGUGAACCUCUUUCGCUCGUGUGCAAGCCGCUAUUUGGGUAGUGGUGAGUGUAGCGGGUAAAGAAGCGCCGGCUAACUACGUGCCAGCAGCCGCGGUAAUACGUAGGGCGCGAGCGUUGUCCGGAUUUAUUGGGCGUAAAGGGCUUGUAGGCGGUUUGUCGCGCCUGUCGUGUAAUCCUCUGGCUUAACUGGGGGUGUGCGGUGGGUACGGGCAAGGUUGAGUGCGGUAGGGGAGAUUGGAAUUCCUGGUGUAGCGGUAGAAUGCGCAGAUAUCAGGAGGAACACCGGUGGCGAAGGCGGGUCUCUGGGCCGUUACUGACGCUGAGGAGCGAAAGCGUGGGGAGCGAACAGG